UCGGCUUGCUAGACAUCUUACUCUUAGGUUUCAGCAGUUGGAUGUCAUGUGUGAGACCAAAACAAAGAUAUACUUGAGUGUCGAGCGGAAGCGAUUGCUGAACAAGUAUAAAAUUGAGAUCUCUGUUGAGGAGUAACUUCUACAUCAUUGCCUAUACCGUUGGGGUUUUUGUAGAUUGGUACCAGGUCCCUCAUUCGCCAUGCUCGUGAUGGUUACAAUGUUUGCAUCUUUGCAUAUGGUCCAACUGAAUUUAAUAAAA